GGGCGGGGCGUCCGAGCCGUGUGUGCCUGCGUAACGCCGAGUCACAUGUUGUUUUGCUCCUCUUAGUUCAGUCACUCGGUGCGCGAUGUGUUACUCACUGUGCGGCGGGGACCGCGACGAGGCCGGGUCGCCGUUGGCGGCGGCAGCUGCAGGAGCCCUGGCGUUGGCGUUGGUGGCGCAGACCCCCGGCGCCCGGACGCACCCCGGCUUCACGAAGCGUAGCGCGGCUGCGGCGGCCCCAUCCGUGCGGCCGCGCGCGCCCUAGGCUCGGCCCCGCGCGCGGAUCGGGGACCCCGACUCUCCGCGCCUUCCUCGAGCCCGCGGCGCCGCCCGAGACCCCGUAGGCGGCGGCGGUGAUAGCGACAGCCCGGCCGCAGGCGGCCACGCGCGCGCCGGGCAUCCUCGGGACCGCGGGGCGCUGCGCCGCCGAGCUGAGCCGGGCAGGGCCGGGCUGGGCCGGCCGCCUCCUCCGCGGACCUUCCUCGCCUCCCGGGACCUGCAGACGCGAGCGCGGGCGGGCGGCCGGCAGGGCGACCAGGGGUCCGGAGCCGCCCCCGCCCGCGCCCCGCCGCCCUCCCCGGCCGCGCCGCGUCCCCGGCCGGCGGUGGCGGCGGCGGCGGCGGCAGUAGCAGCAGCAGCAGCAGCAGCGCCCGCGAUGGCGAGCCCGCCGCGGCAAGGGGCCCCUGGGCCGGCGGGCGGGGACGGCUCCAACCUCAACAACAACAACAACAACAACAACAACAACCACGGCGUGCGCAAGUGCGGCUACCUGCGCAAGCAAAAGCACGGCCACAAGCGCUUCUUCGUGCUGCGCGGGCCCGGCGCGGCCGGCGAGGACGCGGGCGCGGGCGGGGGGUCGGCGGCGCCGCCGCAGCCCCCGCGCCUCGAGUACUACGAGAGCGAGAAGAAGUGGCGGAGCAAGGCGGGCGCGCCGAAGCGGGUGAUCGCGCUCGACUGCUGCCUGAACGUCAACAAACGCGCUGACGCUAAGCACAAGUACCUGAUCGCCCUCUACACCAAGGACGAGUAUUUUGCUGUGGCAGCCGAGAACGAGCAGGAGCAGGAGGGUUGGUACCGCGCGCUCACCGACCUGCUCCGCGAGGGCCGCGCGGCCGCCGCCCGCGACGCGCCCCCUGUGGCCACGGCUCCCGCUGCCGCGCCCUGCAGUGCGCCCCUUCCCGGGGCUCUGGGCGGCUCGGCCGAGGACGGCGACGGGCUGGGGGCGUCCUCGCCCACUGCCUACCGCGAGGUGUGGCAGGUGAACCUGAAACCCAAGGGCCUGGGCCAGAGCAAGAACCUGACGGGCGUGUACCGCCUGUGCCUGUCGGCGCGCACCAUCGGCUUCGUGAAGCUCAACUGCGAGCAGCCGUCCGUGACGCUGCAGCUCAUGAACAUCCGGCGCUGCGGUCACUCGGACAGCUUCUUCUUUAUCGAGGUGGGCCGCUCGGCCGUCACGGGCCCCGGCGAGCUGUGGAUGCAGGCUGACGACUCGGUGGUGGCGCAGAACAUCCAUGAGACCAUCCUGGAGGCCAUGAAGGCGCUCAAAGAGCUCUUCGAGUUCCGUCCGCGCAGCAAGAGCCAGUCGUCCGGUUCGUCAGCCACGCACCCCAUCAGCGUGCCCGGCGCACGGCGCCACCACCACCUGGUGCACCUGCCCCCGAGUCAGACUGGCCUAGUGCGCCGCUCGCGCACGGACAGCCUGGCUGCCACCCCGCCCGCCGCCAAGGGCGCCCAGUGCCGCGUGCGCACGGCCAGCGAGGGCGACGGCGGGGCUGGGACCGGGGCCGGGGCGGCAGCGGCGGCGGCACCGGGUGGGCGGCCGGGGUCGGUGGCUGGGAGCCCCCUUAGCCCGGGGCCGGCACGAGCACCCCUAAGCCGCUCGCACACGCUGAGCGCCGGCUGCGGGGUCCGCGCCGGCAAGGUGGCCUUGGCGCCGGCAGGGGGCGCGCUACAGCACAGCCGCUCCAUGUCUAUGCCGGUGGCGCACUCGCCUCCUGCCGCCACCAGCCCUGGCAGCCUGUCAUCUAGCAGUGGCCACGGCUCAGGGUCCUACCCGCUUCCCCCUGGCCCAACCGUGCCGCUGCCACACCCACUGCACCAUCCGCCGGGCCAGCGGCCCUCCAGCGGCAGCGCCUCGGCCUCGGGCUCCCCAAGCGACCCUGGCUUCAUGUCCUUGGAUGAAUAUGGGUCCAGCCCAGGUGAUCUGAGAGCCUUCUGCAGCAGCCACCGCAGCAACACGCCGGAGUCCAUCGCGGAGACGCCCCCGGCGCGGGAUGGCAGCGCAGCCGAGCUGUAUGGGUACAUGAGCAUGGACAGGCCCCUGGGCCCCUGUGGCCGCGCUUACCGCAGGGUCUCCGGGGACGCAGCGCAGGACUUGGACAGGGGGCUCCGAAAGCGGACCUACUCGCUGACCACGCCUGCGCGCCAGCGCCCCGUGCCGCAGCCGUCGUCGGCCUCACUAGAUGAGUACACGCUCAUGCGGGCCACCUUCUCCGGUAGCUCGGGCCGCCUGUGUCCACCUUUCCCCGCGUCCUCCCCCAAAGUGGCCUACCAUCCCUAUCCAGAAGACUACGGGGACAUCGAGAUCGGCUCCCACCGCAGUUCCAGCAGCAACUUGGGGACGGACGACGGCUACAUGCCUAUGACCCCAGGCGCGGCCCUGCUGGGCGGAGGUAGUGAGGACUAUGUGCCCAUGAGCCCCACCAGCGUAUCUGCCCCGAAGCAGAUCCUGCAGCCCAGGGUUGCCCCGGCGGUAGCCUUGCCCCCCUCGGGGACAGCGGUGCCAGCUGCCCCCUCUCCGGCUGUGAGGGCUUUCCCAGGGACUGGGGGCGUCUACAAGGCCGGCUCACCCGCUGAGAGCUCGCCUGAGGACAGCGGGUACAUGCGCAUGUGGUGUGGCGCCAAGCUGUGUGUGGAGAGCACAGACCCUAAGCUGCUGGCCAACGGGGACUACCUCAACAUGUCCCCCAGCGAGACAGGCCCAGCCAGCACCCCGCCAGACUUUUUCUCUGCGGCCCUGCAAGGUGGCGGUGAGGGGCCCAAGGGAGUUCCUGGCUACUGCUACAGCUCGGUGCCCCGUUCCCACAAGGCGCCCCACCUGUGUGGCGCUGGGGACGGCGGCCAGUACGUGCUCAUGAGCUCCCCCGUGGGCCGCAUCCUGGAGGAGGAGAGACUGGAGUCCUCAGCUGCCCCUGUGGCUGCCGCAUUGAGCAGCGCCUUUGGGACUGGUGGGGACAGCCACAUGCAGCCUCAUCACCCAGCAGCAGUGCCUUCCCCCAUGAGGCCAGGGGGCAAUGGCGGUGGGCGUCCUGAGGGCUUCUUGGGCCAGCGCUGCCGGGCAGUGCGCCCCACACGACUGUCCCUAGAGGGGCUGCAGACGCUGCCCAGCAUGCACGAGUACCCCGUGCCCACGGAGCCCAAGAGCCCCGGCGAGUACAUCAACAUUGACUUCGGGGAAGCAGGUGGACAGUUGUCACCGCCAGCCCGACCGCUGCUGGCCUCUGCUGCUUCGUCCUCCUCGCUGCUGUCUGCCAGUAGCCCUGCAUCUUCGUUGGGUUCCGGUACGCCGGGCACCAGCAGUGAUAGUAGACAGCGCUCCCCGCUGUCUGACUACAUGAACCUGGGCUUCAGCUCCCCCAAGUCGCCCAAGCCAGGAGCCCACAGCGGGGACCCCGUGGGCUCCCUGGAUGCCCUCCAGUCCCCUGACGCCACGUCCCCAUACCCGCCGCUGCCCCCGCGCCCUUCGCCCUGUCUGACCUCUUCCCUACAGCAGGCCCCACCACCGCCUCCCCCCGGAGAGCUGUACCGCCUGCCCACCGCACCGAAUGCUGUAGUCACUUCCCAGGGCCCUGGCACUGCCCCAUCCUCUGACACUGGCGACAACAGUGAUUACACCGAGAUGGCCUUUGGUGUGGCAGCCACCCCGCCACAGCCGAUCGCUGCCCCUCCGAAGCCGGAGGGUGCCCGAGUGAGCAGCCCCACGUCAGGCCUGAAGCGACUGAGCCUCAUGGAUCAGGUGUCGGGCGUUGAGGCCUUCCUCCAGGCUGGCCAGCCCCCUGACCCCCACCGGGGCGCCAAGGUCAUCCGUGCAGACCCGCAGGGGGGCCGCCGCCGCCACAGCUCAGAGACUUUUUCCUCCACCACCACGGUCACCCCUGUGUCUCCAUCUUUUGCCCACAACCCCAAGCGUCACAACUCAGCCUCCGUGGAAAAUGUCUCUCUCAGGAAAAGCAGUGAGGGCAGUGGUGCUGGCAGCCUCGGUGGGGGUCUUGGGGCAGGUGAGGAGCCACUCAGGUCCCCGGGACACUCACAGCUGUCAGUCGCACCCCCGCCACCACAGUCACGGCCGUGGAGCACUGGUCAGCCUGGGGGCCUGGUCGGCUGUCCAGGGGGUGGCAGUUCCCCGAUGCGCAGAGAAACUUCCAUGGGGUUCCCGAAAGGCCUCAACUACAUUGCCAUCAGCGUGCGGGACGAAGCAGGGCUGUCCGCGCAGACGCAGCAUCUACAGCCAGGGGACAGGAGCUCCUGGGGCCGGACCCGGAGCCUCGGGGGCCUGCUUAGCACUGUGGGAGGCAGUGGCACCAGUGGGGCAUGUGGGGGCCCGGGCCCUAGCGCCCUGCCCUCUGCCAACACCUAUGCCAGCAUCGACUUCCUGUCCCAUCGUCUGAAGGAGGCCACGGUCGUGAAAGCUCAGUGGGAGAGAGGCACAGAGCCUUCCAGAAGCCCUGGGUUCAAUCCCCAGCACCAAAACAACACAGACCAAAGAUUUGUUCGUAGAAAAUCCCCACGGCAACAAAGGAGCAUUUGAAAUUACCUAGGAGGGCAGCCACUGAGGAGAACUGCAUCCGGAUUCCUGGCCUGCAUUAAAAGUGACUUUGAUCCCUUUAUGAUUUGUUUGUGUAUCAGGAGCUGGUGACACGGUGGGGACAUGUAAUUAGGGUAUGCAUUUUUAAAAUUUGGCUCUUUGUACAGGAAACACUACAAGAACUGCAGACCCUUUAAACUCUCAGUUGUUUAAUUACCCACCUUCCCAUCUGGGAUUGCAGGCUUUGGGGGGAUUUAGCGCUGUGCUGUGGUGUGUGGCUGGGCUGUCUGGUGGUCUCCAGGAGGCACAGAUGUUUGAGUCUUUAGUUCUCUGCCCUCUUCCCAGUGAGGCACUGUGCUGGUGCUUCAUUUCCAUGGUGUCAGUAUUAAAAUGAAGGGUUUUUGCUUUCUUUCUGAAGUGAAGAACUUUUCAGAAGUUUUACUAACAGCGUGAAUAUAAUGGGUUUUCUGUUAAGAUUCCCAAUAAUGCACUUUGUGUAGAGGCUUAGUUCCAAGAGCUGGGUAACUUUUGGUAUCAGAUUUGGCAAGUGGGAAAGAUUUUUUUUUUGUUUUGUUUUGUUUUGUCGGGGUAGCACAGAACCCAGUGUUCCCAUUUCACCUUGGAAACUUGGGGAAAGUGUAACUUUACUCCUUCAUCUGUAUUGCCAGGUGGGGGGCACCAGAGAGGGAGUGGGGCCCCUUUCUGGGAGGCCGGUGAUGGGGACCUCAGGGAGGGCAGGGAGGCAGGGCAUCUCUCCCCAUCGUGGGGGACACUUUUAAGAGCAGGACAAGAAGUAGUGUUAAUUAUCAGGUCACCGGUGCAGUGCCAUCCAGAUUUAAAGGAACCACCGUGUGAAUUUUAGUUGGCUUUGCUGUGUUCUUUGCAGACCGUGGUGAGGACUUGUAACCUUAGGUGGAUGCUUGUGUACAGAGUGCAAGGAGAACUGGUGGUGAGGUCAUUGUUCAGGAUGUGGGAAGCCAGCUCUUGAUGUCUCUGGAGAUGGCCAGACUUACGUGAGCCAGGCAUGGAAAGAUUCGACAGAGAGAGUGAGAGGCUGGAGGCAGGUGGGGAAGGCACCCCCCAAGCACCAGUGUGGAGAGAGAGACGUCUGCGCUUUAGUACGAUGUCCGAGGUACAGUGGGGUGCAGACUUAAAAGCUGUGUGUUUGCAGAGUGGGGGGUCCAGAGACACGGUCAGAGGCUCAGGGAGAGGGUCACUGAACUCGGCUGUGCGUUCUCUUGUGCUUGUACUGAAAGUUGGGAGAGUCUGUCAAAUACUUCACCCCACAGCAUGCUCUGAAGGAUCAGUGGUUACUGCCAUGGUGCUGUGUGAAUGCUGGGUCUCCUCCUAUUUAUUCCAGAGUCAGGUUUUCCAGAAGCGCGAGCACACAAGGAUCUGUAGUGUUUUAUCCAAUGGCAGCCGAAGAGGCGUGGCCUCCUUCCUUCAUAAUUAAAACUCAGAUGCUAAUGCUGGUUUCUAAUAGUGUUUAAGCUUUCUGCAGGCACUUAGCUAAUUACAGCCUCUCGCUGUCUCUAUGUUACUGUACUCUUGUCAUGGAAUUGGUACAGUUUCUUGAGUGAAUUCUUACGGUAUAGGAUUAAGUUAGGGACUCUUUGAAAGUAUAAAAAUAGAUAUUAUGAUACAGCUCAUGACAUGACUUGAUUUUAAUUGUUACCUGAAAACCUGUACGCUUAGGUUAAGGGUGAUACAUGCAUUUUGCACAGCAUUAAUGCACAGCCUUUAGGAUUUAUGCCUAUGAUUAGUGUUUUUGCUAAUCUUCUGCCACCAAAGUUGAACACAAGUUGGGCAGUGAUGAUUUGAAAGCAGGCUGAGGCUGGAUGUGGUGUGGGGAUUUUCCUCUGCUUCAUUGUUAAGCUGUCCCCCACUGUGUCCCUGGACACCCCUGUGGCAUAGGCAGAGCGAACUUGGCCCCCAUUCUGGGGUACAGAGAGCUUCCCCGGGGAGGGGCAGGUGUCCACCAGGGAAAGGGUGUGACCUCAUCUGCUGACUCGGGUUCAGCCUGGGCUCCACAGGGACUGCACCCAGACCCUGUGAGAUGCUGGUUAGCACGUCCACCUGGCCCGAUGGCCCCAGAGGACACUUUGGUGACCGUUCCUUCACUUCCUCUCCUGUUCUUCCGUUACUGACUGGGAGCGAACUAGUCCUCGGGAUAGGUCCACAGGGCCUCAGGUCCUCUCCCUGUGUGUUUUAUUUACUAGGCUCCCUCCUCUAACUGUCUCGGCUCCAUCCCGGUGGCCUAGGGGGAGAAGAAGCGCAAGGGCAUCUUGAGCGUGAGGACCAACAUUGUGUCACUUGCUUAUUUUAAGGUUGUGUGAACAGCUGAGAGUGACUGGGUGUCAGGUUCAAGGUCAGAGAGGGAAGGCGGGAGCUGUUGGUAAACCUGAGGGAAGCCCGGGAGACAGCAUUUCGAAGGACGGCUGGUAGGGGAUGCUUUGGUAACCACUGCCUGCACAGGUGGAAAGGUGCCUGCCUGACGAGAGGGUGAGAGUGACAAAGCUGGCAAGGUCUCGAGAGGCAGCUGGUGGUGAACUCCGUUGAGAUGCACCUCCCAUGUCCCCCGCCCAUGGCUGCCUGCAGUUUCCUGGCUCCUCAACCUCUGCCGCCUGCUGGACCACGCACAGGAGCCCAAAACCCCGACUGGACUCUGCCCGCCCGCUUGCCCACCCCUCCUCCUGUGCCCGAGCCGUGGCAGAGUUUUGUUUUGGUUUUUGUCCCCAAGUUGCUUGGGUUUCCUGUUCUCCAAGUGUCGGCCGGGGUUGUCGGUUCUAUCCGCCCCCCAUUCCCCGCCCUGUCCCGGUGGGGAAUCCUGGCAUUUGCUGACUUAGGCUCCAAGCCGAAGUCCUACCUCAGCUCAGGGGAGCCGGGGCGUGAGGUGGGGGCCGAGGCCAGGCGUGUGAGCCCUGGGACUGCCUGUGUCCAGUGGCCUCUGUGAUCCAGCCAUGGGUGGACACAUAGUCUCCACCCGUGACACUGGCUUUCAUAGAGCACAACGGGACUGUGACAGUGCCACAUGGGAGGCCUGGGGUGGACUUGGAAGAUAGAUUUGCAGAGAAUCCUCUGCCACUGUCGUCAUCACUGUCACCAUCCCUGUCCCCAUCAUCACGACCGCCUGCUCUUGUCUCCUCCAUCAUGUGGGUCAGGUGGAGGGCAGGCGUGAAGCUCUUUCCCUACGGGCUCUGCUGUCUGCACAAGACAGUCUUGUAGGGACUGCUGCACCCAAGGAUCGGCCUUUCUACCAAAAAUCCACAUGGGCAGCCAGUGACCAUAGCUGCUCUGGGUGUGGCGGAUUUUGUGUGUAAAAUACAGCACGAUCUUUAAACAUGGCAGCCUAAUGCAGGCCCCAGACUACCCUGACUGCAGAGAGGACACCAUCCAACUGUGCCGCUCGGGGCAGGAGCUGGCGGAGAGUGGCCUCACAGGACCGGUCACUCCUCAGAGGAGCCCUCAGCGAGGUCACCCUCAUCCUGCUUUCAGUGUUUGGGAAAUGCCAGCGUUGCGGUGAUGACCACAGCCGUCCUGGUCCCCAUGGCUCCCUGAACACGUGGCUGGACCCCUGCCCAGUGCCUGUCUCCCCAAUAGUCCUAUAGAGGCCACACUAAUUCUUGGAGAUGUGACUUGUUGGUUUGUUUUUUCUGUUGUUACUUUUUGUUUUGGAGGAAAAAAAAAAAUAUAUAUAUAUAUAUAUAAAUAUACAGAUCUAUAUCAUAUAGGACAAUGCAUUACUAAACUGAGGCUUCGUAGAGGAAGACCAACAUUUUCAAUGUCUUAAAACUAUGUUUAAUGGCAAUGCACACGUCUUCCUGCUUCUGUGCUGAACUCUUUAGAACCGAGGAUUGUACUGCAAGACAGAGUUGAAUGUAAAGCAAGGUUUUACUUUCCGGAGUGCUCAUCCCAGCUGCGUGUAGUCAGUUUGAAGGUCACUGCCUGCGAACAACAGGCUUUGUCAGGACGUACAGAGUGUCCCCGAAGUUUUCUUUAGGGAUGAGGAAUUGGUGGGUGGUAGUGCCCUGUGACCCCGGCACCUACGGCCGCCGCGAGCCCCCCAGCGGUUCAGCACGACCCCACCCCAGCCCACACGAUGGUCCGGGCCCCUCCUGCAGCCUAAAAUGAGCAGGGUUGAGAAGGUGAUGCUAUACUAAAAUUUUCCUCUAUCCUGUACAUUUCAAGAAAAAAAGGCAUAUGCAAUAUUACAUUUUUAAUUUAGUUUACAGAAUGGAACCAAAAUGUAUGUUAUGUUUGCAAAAAAAGAUAAUUCACAAUGUAUAUUGGAUCUUUGUACAUUUUGCCUGACUUACCUUAAAUUUAAACUAUUUUUUGCUAUAUAAACUUUAACCGUUAUGAACAGUGCUUCUUUGGGGUACGUGUUACUUCGGGUCUCAAGAUGUUAAAUAUGCUUCUCCCGCUCUUGUGUUAGGACAGCACCCUCCCAGCUGUCUCCCACACUGUACAUAGAGGUACGAGCCGCUGGAACCGUGCAUCGUGUUUAGUCUGUAUCGAUCAUGGAUGCCCUCCUCAAUAGCCAUAUGAAAUAAAUAAAGACAUUAUUUAUGAAAUGAA